UACAGAGGUGGCAAGCGUUGUUCGGAUUCAUUGGGCGUAAAGGGCGCGUAGGCGGCGGGGUCAGUCGGGUGUGAAAUCUUGGGGCUUAACCCCGAAACGGCACUCGAAACUGCCCGGCUGGAGGGCCGGAGAGGAGAUCGGAAUUCACGGUGUAGCAGUGAAAUGCGUAGAGAUCGUGAGGAAGACCCGUGGCGAAGGCGGAUCUCUGGACGGCUAAAACUGACGCUGAGGCGCGAAGGCCAGGGGAGCAAACGGG
rnacentral:rRNA from 1 species